UAGAAUGAUGGCUGAAUUCUAAGCAGAAGGUUUUUAAUCUUUGUAUAAUACAG
rnacentral:tRNA from 1 species